GACAGGUGAUGAACAUCAAUGAGAUGACUUGAACUGGCCUUCUGUUGAAACUAAAAUUGCCAUAGAUCGCGAUUCUUCGUCUGAUCCUCCUGUGUAUUCAUCAUUUCAUCCUUUUCUUUUUAAUCUGCCUAUCCUUUUCGACUUCGGGAUGUUCAUUUCUUUUUUCUUUCAUUGGAAAUGAAAGGGAGAGCACUGACUCUUCUUUCGAGUGAAGGAAAAUGGCAUGUAUCC
rnacentral:lncRNA from 1 species